rnacentral:lncRNA from 1 species
CAGAAAUUUUUUCUAUAAUUAAAUUUUUAUAUUUUGUUUUCGUACCUUUUAAACCUAAAUUGAAAAAAAAAUAAAGGAACUUAAUUAAUUAGAGAGAAGAUAAAAAGAUUUUGUUCAAAAAUAAUUUUUAUGAGACCUAAAACAGUUGUUUUGCAAAAAAUUAUUAUUUUAAAAAAACAUUUUUUUAACAAAAAAUUUUAAUAUUUUAAUUUUUCUAUAAUUAAAUUUUUAUACUUUGUUUUUAUUAUUUUUAAUCCUAAAUUGAAAAAAAAACUUAAUUAAUUAGAGAGAGGAGAGAGAGAGGCAAAGUCAUUAUUGACUUGGGCCCCAUUAGCACAAAUGUCGGUCUGAUUUGUUGACAAGGAACGCUCCCGUGGUAGUUACCACGGGCGCGUGCCUUUUUACCAGCCCUCAAGAUUUCACAAGGACAUGUGACAGAGAGAGAAUCAAGUAGCAAUCACACGUAUAUGAAUAGUACGAUAUGAGUUUGGAAAUAUAAAUAAUCACUUUUACUAAAAAGAAUACAUAAAAAUAAUUGUAAUGACGUUAGGAAGAACUAUGUGCGAUCAUUGUAAUGACGGUUGCUUGGAAGAAUCCAGAUCUCCUGCCUCAUCUUAUGUCCCAAGCAUUUUAUUUGUAAUAAAUUUGGCCAAUUUUAUUUAACAAAUUUGGGGUUUGACUAGCUUAUUACUUUGGCCAAUUUUAUAAUUUUAUUAACUGUUUGGGGCUAAUCUGUAAAAUAGGAGAAGUGUUGGCAAUGGAUAAUCAAAACAUAAUAUUGUUUUGGGGUAUGACUAACUUAUUUCUUUGGCCACUUUUGCAAUUUUAUUAACUAUUUGGGACUAAUAUGUAAAUAAGAGAAGUUUUGGCAAUGGAUAAUCAAAACAUAUUAUAAAACAACACAUUUGAUUUAAACGCACUACCUCGACUUCAGAGUAUAUAGACUAUUAAACCACUGACUUAAGUAAAAAGUUUAUUUGUAAUAUUACAUUACAUAUAUAUAUAUAUGAUAUAUAAAAAAUCUAAUAAUAUGUAUAUGCAGAAAGAAUUAUAGACAUUAAAAAUUGCUGAAGACAAGAUUAUUAAUUGAACAAAAAUACUAAAAUUAAUUUUUACAUAUUUUAAUUUUUGAAUAUACAUAAUAGGCAUUUAAAGAGCCUCACUAUCGAGAUAUUGUUUAUCGGACGCUCUGGCUUUGCUUUAUAUGACUAAGAGGUAGGACGUGUUGUUGUAAUAUAAAAAAAUUCGGGUUUAAAAUUAUAAAUUAAAAAAAUAUAUCUGGCAUUAAAUAAAUAUGGUAUCAAAACAACUAUUUGGCAUAAUCCAGAUUCUUGGCAUAAAAAAUAUAUUUGUUAAAUUAUAAAAAACAUCGAGUGAAGAGUAAAAGAAACUUAUAAAAUUUUAUCAUAAUUUUUUUAAAAAAAUUUCAACAAUAAAAGUAAAAAAGGAAAAGAAAAAUCUGAAUUAAGGGGUAUUAAAAAAAGUGUUAAAUAAUAUAUAAAAAAAAAAUAAUUAUAAUAAAAUUUUAUAAUUUUUUUAAUUUAUCGCCUAUAUUUUUAUAAAAAAAAAAAAAAAUAUGGAUCGUAAAACUCAUUUUAGAUACAAAUUUUGAAUGUGAGAGUAAAAGGAAAAUAUAAAUUUUAUCAUAAAAUUUUUUAGAUAAAAAUUUGAACAGUUGAACUUAAAAAAAAAAUAAAAUUGUGAUCAUUUAUUAAUAAAUAACUAAGAAAUGGUAUUAAAAAAAAAUUAAUGAGGGAGAGAAAGAAAGAGAAGAAAUAAAAGAAGAGAUGAGAUGGAGUGAGAGGGGGGCAAAUUUGUCCAAAAAGAGCUCAUACCUGUCUCAUCCCCACACCCUCCGUGUCAGGCGGGGUGGGAAUAAUAGUUUGUUUCAUUUCUAGCUAGUAGUUUAGGGAUGUUGUGUCGAACGCGCGAGUGGGUUUGAGGAUCUUGAGAAUGCGGCUGGGGUGAGAUAUGUCUAUUGUUGUGUUGGUGUAAUCAACCAUGAGACAAGAGAAACAAAAUCAGAGGGGAGAUGUAGAAACAGGCACAGAUCUUAUGGGUGAGGUCACCCAAGGUCCGCAUUUAAUAUCAAAUCAGGCUCUAUGUGGUGCAGCAUAUUUUUUAUUUACAGAAACCGUGUUUGGUAUAAUUAAACAUAGGUUGAAAUUGUUAAUUAAAAUUAAAAUUUUAAAAUUUUAAAAUGGAGUUCUAAGAAUCAACGUUUUUUUUAGUUUUUUUUGUCAGUAAAUAGAAGCAGAAGUUGUGCUAAAUAUUCUGACACAAUUUUGUCACAACUUCUAAGUAACAACUUCUAUUUUUUUAUGUAUUAAAUAUUAUGCCAAAGUAUUUGACAUGAUUUAUGCUUCUGCUUAUAAACAUAAAAAAACUUACAAAAGAUGAAAAAUAUGUGAUUAUUGGAAGCUCAAUUUUUAGCAUUUCAACUUGUGUUUUUAAGUAAACAAUUCUAACAUAAGUUACUUUGAUUUUAUUUUGGAUUUUUUUUGUGUGUUUAUUGAAUUUCUUUUACAGUGUAAUCAAAAUUUUAUAUUUUUUCAGUUUAUCUCGAAGAGAAGAGUCAAAUAAUGUAAAAAAUUCCACUUACUUUGAAAAAAAAAAUAGUGAUAGGUACACACUCACUUUUGAUUGUGUACAAGACACCAAUUUUUGCCCUCUCACAAAACAAGUGAGACCCGCCCUAAUUAGAAUUUUUACACUUUUCUAAAAAUACUAAUUAGAGCAGAUCUCACUUAUUUAUGAGAGGACAAAAUAGAUAUGUUUUGUAGACACUCACUUUUGAGUGUGUAUCAAUUAUUAUUCAAAAAAAAUUCACUAAGUCCAAAAGUAAUAAGUCCAAAAGUAAACUAUUAUUUAAAAGCUAUAUACGUAGGGAAAAAAAUAAUAGACGGCUUAGGCCGGUUUUUUUUUUUUUUCUUGGGGAAAGGACAUAAAGGAGAUGGCAGUGGAAGAGUAAUGUGACUGAACAAAUACUAGACGCGUCUGUCUCUCUCACAUCUUUUGCCCUCUCAGACUCAGUUACGUUAAAUAUGAAAGAAUCUGAAGCAUGGGGACUCACAUUUUCCAACUUUUCAUAAGUAUAUGAGAGAUCUAUUAAGAAAAUUGCUUUUCGCCCCACUGACACAAACCCCCUGUCUCCAUGCCCAAUUACCUCUUUGCCCCCCUCCUUUUUUUCCUUGCCCAUGCAGCCCCCUUUUUGAAUUUUUUUUGUUUUGUGUUGUUUUUAUCACAUUUUUUUUAUAUAAUUUAUUUCUUUUCUUUAUAAUUUUUUUUUGGAUAAAUAAUUUUAUUUAUUAUAUGAUUAUAAUACUUUUUUGUAUUUUUUUUAGUUUUGUUUCUACGCUUUGUUUUUGUUAGUUUUGUUUAAUUUUUAUGUAAUUUUAUUUCUUUUCUUUUAUUAGUUUUAUUUAUUUUUUGUUUAAUUUUUGACACAUGUUAGAGCCUCUCUCUUCUUUUAAAUGCCCCUAACCCUUGACACGUGUCAGAACCCCCAUCUCCCUUUAAAUGCCCCCGCAAACCCUGGACAAUGUCAAAAACCCCCACUCUCCUUUAAAUGCCCCCACUCUUGACACGAUGUCGAAAAACCCCAUCUCCCUUUUAAUGCCCCCACCCAAACUAUUGACACGUGUCAGAACCUCCAUCUCCCUUUAAAUGCCCCAGCAAACCCUGGACCACGGCUCAAAACCCCACUCUCCCUUUAAUGCCCCCACUCUUGGACAGUGUCAAAAAAACACCAUCUCCCUUUUAAUGCCCCCCAAACUAUUGACACGACUGUCAAACUCCAUCUCCCCUAAAUGCCCCCUCAAACCAUUGACACGUGUCAAAAACCCCAAUCCUUCACUUUUUAAGUCCCCACCUCUGGGACAAGUGUCAGAACCCCCAUCUCUCUUUGAAUGCCCCCCAACAAUUGACACCCCAGUUAUUGACACAUGUUUGAACCUCCAUCUCCCUUUAAAGCCCUCCCCACCAACCCUUAACACAUGUCAUAACCUCCCUCUUCCCUUUGAAUGCCCCCCUCAACUUGACACCCUUCCUUUUAAAUACUAAUCUCCUUCUCUUUUAUCUAAUUGGAGUUCUCUUCUAACCAUCACUUUUCGUAAUCCAAAAAAUAAACAUUAUGGAUAACAACUUAGGUCAUUUCAGAUAGUUGGUCAUUUGAGAAGGAUGUUCUAGUGGGAGAGCAUCUCCCACAACAGUCGCGGAUUAUUACAACCGAAUUUACCACAGAUCAGAGUAGUAUUAUCGUUAUUUGAUGCAUAGUCGUUAUUUAGGUUGGUAUAGAUUAUGUUGCACUUAUUACAUAUUGUUCUAUUUUUGAUAUAGAUAUUUGAAAGUAGAGAAGUUAUGAUUAAAUUGGGCAAAAAAAGAGUGGGGUUUGCGAGAGGUUUGGAGAAUAGUAUUGUGGUGGUUAUUACAAAUUCUGCUAAUUUACAAAGGCGGCAAGCUACCAAAGUGCCAUCUUACCGUGUUGCAAGAGGAGGGAAGUACAAAACGCCACCGAUAUCUAAUUGAAGGAAAAUCCUUAAAAAGAAAUAUGGGACUAAAAAAUGUGAAUGACCCCUUGAGUGCGAGGUGGGGUUUAAGGUUGUCUGUGGUUUUAUAACCAUCAAGUAGCAGAAUUAUAUUGACGGCCAUGGAGUAUCCGUGUGGUUAAAACCAAUGGAGAACGAAUUUGUUCGUGUGAAAUGGCCAACGCAAUGCACCUUAGAGAAAUCUUAGUAUUUUCGAAAGAAAGAGACCCGUCAAACAAUACGGGGAUCAAAGCAUGCAAUGCCAUUUUCAAUAACAAAUCCACAAACGGGGCGGUCGGGUCUAAAUCCUGUUCAGUAUGUUUGAGCAAGUAAUUAAGAAAAAAAAAUCUCCAUAAUUACCAAACAAAUUCAACACCAACGAAAUCACAGAUAUUCUUUGGGUUUAUCCAGGAAAGUCUAGAGUUGUCGUAACUUUCCGUCCGUGUUGAUCAUUGAUGCCACUGACAAGAUCAAGGAGUAUCGGGUACCAGUGCGUAAUGAAGAAAUGUGACCCUCAUGUUGAGCGGGAGUGGAAAUAAUUUCGGCGUCAUGGCACUCACUCAAUUAAGUCAUCAACACAGGUGGGUCUUACCAACAGAAGAAAUGGAAAGUCAUCGCCGAGGGAGUACCGACGAUUCGAUGGUGUCCUAAAAUAUCUUCAGGAGAGGGAGACAGGUUACACCUUCAAGGAACGAUUUGCUUUCAGCAUGGGUUGACACUGUAUGCAUCUAGGAGCAAGUGUCAAGUCAGAGGUAUAGUCACUUUAUAGCUUAUAUAUUUAAAUUUUGUUGAUUAUUGUACUAUUUCAAUUCUAUUUAUUGUUAAAACACAAUGCAUUUUUGAUACAGGGCGGAGUCGACCACAUGCUAGACUGAAGUUAAUUUGGGAGGGGUACAAUGUUCAUCCCUACAAACCAUCUUUCGAAAAAAUACACAGGAGUGUUGAAGUCAACUCGGGGCUAUUAAGACGUCGUUCGAAAAAUCCAUCAACAUUCCAAGACUAACAUUUGCAUUGAUGAUAUUUUUUUCAGCCAAGUAAGGGUUGCCAGAUGUUAUUAGAGGAGGCCAAUGGAAUUGAUUUCUGGUCAACUGCAAUGCGUGAGGAAUCAUCUCACCAGAUAUGCAGGGGCAGAUGCAACUGUUCAAUCCAAACAGUAUACGCUGACCAUGCGAGCAAGAUCUUGCACAUUACCGUUACUUUCCAUUCCAAUUCCGCACUCAACGAUCGACGCUCAUUGGAGGAGGUGUCUAUCUGCAUGUACAGAGUUAAGAUGAGAGCGUUUACGACCCAACAGGACAUCACACGUUGUUCGACAUAGUAGAUGAGAUGGAUCAACAGAUGCGGAGCAUAUGAUAGACCGAUUUAUCAUAUGGCGGAAAUCCAUCUCAAAGUACCGUUCGAGCCCCUUCGUACACAGGAACAUACAGGUCGACCUAAAGGACAGAGAUGAGCAAAAGUAGACGUCACUCUUUUUCGUCUUCGAACAGCAUCCACUUCAGGGAUCUAGGGUCACUAAAACCGACGAACUACGUCUCGAGGGAGAGGGAGACGAGGGGAGAGGUUGGGGUUCACCGUCACCCAUCAGUGAUACCUACAUGAGAAAUUACCUGUGGCUUUGCAGCAUUAUAGUUCUCACACUGUUGACGUUCAAACCUGACGGUCAUUGUGAAUUCAGAGCGAUUAGUUGCACUCAUUGGGUUGGUGAAGAAGGUUGGGCUCAAUGUACGAUUCGAUCUUAUGGAAGAAAUUCAACAAAAUAAGUAUCUAUAUGAUCAGCUGUAUCUAGAUCGAAAUUUGUAGCCAAUCUAUUAUUCUCAUUGAUGGUUGGGAAAAAAAAAACCCGUGGGCACCCCCCCCCCCCCCCCCCCCCCCCCCCCCACCCCCCCCCACCUCCAGAGAUGUAUUGAUGGACUUAUAGCCUCUGGAAUUGUAAUCGCAUCAAGGCAAACUUGGUACUUCAUACAUUUGAUGAGAAUGUUGGUAGUGUUUACUCAUUGCGUUAAGGACUCCGCAUUCCAAACAAGAGCGUAUAGAAAUAGCUAUUGCCCAUAUUGCAAUCACUUCGUGCAAGUUUUCUUACAACCCUCAUUACCCUGUACCACCUUUCAAGUGCUGGUGGCAACAUUCAUCGAUACGAAGCAAAAGGAUGGUCUGCUCGGUAGAGACACGUGUUCAUUUGUGGUACGAAGUAAUAGGUACAUACCAAGCGCGCCUGGAAACAGAAUGGGAGGGAAUAUUAAUUAAAUUUAUAUUUUUAGUAUCUUUUUUGGUGUUUAUACAUAUUUAUUCCUUGAACAUGGAUAAAUCAAUUUACAUAUUCUCUUUUAUUAUUUUUAGUUUAUUUUUUUAUUGAUUCGUAUUUUUAUACGUUUAAAAUUUGUUACAAAUAAAUAACUCCCAAAAUCUAUAACAAAAAAAUAAAUUUAAAAUAUUAAACAACAGAUAAUAAAAAAAAUAUUAUACAAAAAAAAACUCAAAAAGAAAAAAAAUAAAUUUUAUUAAAAAAAUAAAAAAAAACUAUAAAAAACAUAAAAAAGGGGGCGGUGGUUUGAAAAAUGGAAAAGGGAAAGGGAAAAGGGAGGGAAGGGGAGGGGGCACUAGGGUAAUUGUGGAGGUGGGGCCGGGGGGUUUUGUGUCAGGGAGGGGGGCGAAAAGCAGCUCCCUCGUUAAUCAAUUUAAUCCCACCCCCUGACACAGACCCCACCCCUUGUCCCCCUUUCAAUUACCAAAUUGACUCCCAAUCCCUCCCCCUCUCUCUCUCUCUCCAGUUUUGUAUAAUUUUUUUAGUUUAGUUUUUUUUUUUCAUUAAUUUUUUUUAAUCACUUCAUUUCUUCUCUCUCUUUCUCUCUCACCCCCUUUAUAAUCUCUCUCUCACCUAUUAAAUUUUUUUUGAAUACCAUCUUUAUUAAAAAAAAAUAAAAUUUUUUAUUUUUUUUUACGUUUACCUUCCGAAUUUUAUAUUAAAAAAAAUUGU